rnacentral:lncRNA from 1 species
AUGAUUGCUUGACAACAGAGCCACAUAGGAGCGGAUAACCAAUGACGGACGAGGAAGGCGAUGUAGUCGAAGAAGCCAUAGCCUGGAAGUUCAACUGGGAGAUGUUCGAUUGUAGGAAACAUUGAAGGUGACAAGGGAGGAAAGAUCUAUAAGUUCUUUCAGUGAACUUUCGGUGAAGUGACUGAAGAACAAAUCGAUUACAUCAAGGUUGGAUAGGUUUGCAAUUGCCACGGUGACUGAACCAGUGAACAAAUUUUGGCCAAGAUCAAGGACCUUAAGGUUUACGCAAUUUAUAAGAGACUCUAGUAAGCUUUCCACAAACUGAUUUCUCGACAAGUUUACGUUGAAGAUUUCCUAUGGAGUUUUGUAUCUCGCCAAGUUACCGUCAGAAAGAUCCAAGAACUCCAGGCUUAUUGUAUCUCCAAUCCAGACUGGAAAUUCCCCCAUCCAUGAAUUGCCACUGACAUCAAGAUAUCAGCACAAUCCAAGUUUUCACAUUGAUAUAGGAAGGCCCCCAUUGAAAUAAUUGUCGCCAAAUCAAUAGCCUUCAACAGCAAACAAUUUCCAAUAUAUUCAGGCAGCCAGCCUAUAAACUUGUUCUUUUGCAAACUAAUUGCUUCAAAAUUAUACGCACUCUCAAUCCUUUU